AUUGAACGCUGGCGGCAUGCUUUACACAUGCAAGUCGGACGGCAGCACAGAGAAGCUUGCUUCUUGGGUGGCGAGUGGCGAACGGGUGAGUAACAUAUCGGAACGUACCGAGCAGUGGGGGAUAACUAAUCGAAAGAUUAGCUAAUACCGCAUGUUUUCUGAGGAAGAAAGCAGGGGACCUUUGGGCCUUGCGCUGUUUGAGCGGCCGAUAUCUGAUUAGCUAGUUGGUGGGGUAAAGGCCUACCAAGGCGACGAUCAGUAGCGGGUCUGAGAGGAUGAUCCGCCACACUGGGACUGAGACACGGCCCAGACUCCUACGGGAGGCAGCAGUGGGGAAUUUUGGACAAUGGGCGCAAGCCUGAUCCAGCCAUGCCGCGUGUCUGAAGAAGGCCUUCGGGUUGUAAAGGACUUUUGUCAGGGAAGAAAAGGGCGGGGUUAAUACCCCUGUCUGAUGACGGUACCUGAAGAAUAAGCACCGGCUAACUACGUG
rnacentral:rRNA from 1 species